ACGUGUAUUCCGGCAGUGAGUCGGCGGGGGAUAAGCUCCGUCGUCGAGAGGGAGACAGCCCAGACCGUCGUCUAAGGUCCCGAAGCGUGUGCUAAGUGGGAAAGGAUGUGGAGUCGCAUAGACAGCCAGGAGGUUGGCUCAGAAGCAGCCAUCCUUGAAAGAGUGCGUAACAGCUCACUGGUCUAGUGGUUCCGCGCCGACAAUGUAGCGGGGCUCAAGCACACCACCGAAGACGCGGCAGCAAUCUUCAUGGUUGCUGGGUAGGAGAGCGUCCUGCGAGGGGCGAAG
rnacentral:rRNA from 1 species